rnacentral:tmRNA from 1 species
GGGGUUGAAUGGAUUAGACAGCAUGUAAGUGAAAUUGAAAGCAUGUCGAGCGUUGUGAAUAUAGCUCGUUCCUUUGCGAUGCCUUUUAGGUAAAAACUUAAUUCACAAUAGCCAAUAAAUGGCGAAAAUAAUAAUUAUAGAUUGGCAGCUUAAUCAGGAAGAUUAGGCAGCUAUCUGCUUCCCGCGAAACUUUUCUCAACUGUGUCGCGAUCGAAGCAUCAUAAAUGUUGAGAUAGUUUUGUUAGUUCCUUGAUGACAAAGCGAAAAAUUUAGAGGAUAAGAAUUUGGUUGGUUUGCCUUUUGCCUGCUUGAUUACGACAAUUAAUUAAAGGAUAAGCAUGUAGAAAACACUUUGGCUACUUGUUUGGACCGGGGUUCGAAUCCCCGCAGCUCCACAA